UGGUAUGUCACCUUACUGAGAAUUUUCAUUUCCUUAUCCUUUCAGAUGGUGCUGCAGAGUAGUCCUCUUAUGCAUUAUGCAGUAUCCAAGCAUGAGUUAGCAGAAAUUAAAAAUGGAAACCAUACUACAGUUGGAGUUCAGAAGCCGCCACUGAACAGGCACCUGAAAACCUAAAAUGAAUUUAUUAUUUCAGUUGUAGAUUGCAAUUAUGUUUUUCUAAUCUGAGAGGAAAAAAAAAUUCUCCUUCAUGACAGGUACUGGUGUUAGUACUGAUGUUUGGACUUGCUAUGCCGCUAGGAUAAUGGCUAUCUCUGUCAUCCCAUUUGUUGUUGUUCAACUACCACAGAUGCUCAAUUC
rnacentral:lncRNA from 1 species